AAAAGCAUUUCAUUUCUCACUUGUCUGGACAGAGCUGUAUAGGCUACAAUGAGCACACCACUGAAGUCCUGUUUCUGGAGCUUUCUAUGGACCUCCUCAUGUCUCAGGCUCACCAGCUGGACCAGCACAUCUUCGGAAACAGAUCCAUAAUUUUCAGCAAUGGAUGGAUUUAACCUUUCAUGAUUAAUCGGGCACCUCUGAGGGCCACUAAUGAAGAAAAGUGAAGACUAAGAUGUAACUUCUUAAGUCUGCAGAAGGUUUGAAAUGAAGUAAACUGCAUACAAUCCAAGCAGUGGAAAUUCUGGAUGACAACUGAAUUUCUGUAUGCAGCAUUAAAAACAGUCAAGCGGUUGGAAAACCAAUUCCAGCUGAAAUUAAGAGUUUGCCUGACUGUAAAUCUGGGUUUUUGGCUACUGUUAUUUUCAAUGUAUAAGACUUGGUGUAAUGUAAAUGUACGAAAUGUGUUAAAUAAAUGAAUUAAUACUACUAAUGAAUAAAUCAAUCUAAGAAUAAUUUCUUUUGUAAAGAAGCAAUAACGGUUGAAUCAGUUGUUCUUUCGUUGUCUAUAGGUUGAGGGGUCCGUGGACGUCUGACAAACGUCUCACCCGCAUCCAGCUAUUUUUAUCUGUACAAAACAAUUCGUUUUGUUGCUUGAUAUUGAAAAUGUGUGUCUUACCAUAUUAUUUU